rnacentral:rRNA from 1 species
UACGGGGGGGGCAAGCGUUGUUCGGAAGUACUGGGCGUAAAGGGCUCGUAGGCGGCCAACUAAGUCAGACGUGAAAUCCCUAGGCUCAACCUAGGAACUGCGUCUGAUACUGGAUGGCUUGAAUCCGGGAGAGGGAUGCAGAAUUCCAGGUGUAGCGGUGAAAUGCGUAGAUAUCGGGAGGAACAUCAGUGGCGAAGGCGGCCCUCUGGUCCAGUACUGACACUCAAGUGCGAAAGCGUGGGGAGCAAACAGG